rnacentral:rRNA from 1 species
GACGAACGCUGGCGGCGUGCUUAACACAUGCAAGUCGAACGGAAAGGCCCUGCUUGCAGGGUACUCGCGAGGCGCACGGGUGUGUAACACGUGGGUGAUAUGCCCUGCACUUCGGGAUAAGCCUGGGAAACAGGGUGUAAUAUCGGAUAUGAGCCAUCCUGAGUGUGAUGGUUGGAUAGUUUUUUUGGGGUAGGGUGAGAUCGCGGGCUAUCAGCUUGGUGGUGGGGUAAUGGCCUACCAAGGCGGCGACUGGUAGCCGGCCUGAGAGGGUGGACGGCCCAAAUGGGACCUGGAAACGGGCCAGACUCCUACGGGGGGCAGGAGGUGGGGAUAUUGCACAAUGGGCGCGAGCCUGAUGCAGCGACGCCGCGGGGGGGAAGACGGCCUUCGGGUUGGAAACUCGCUUCGCCAUGGACGAAGCUUUUUGUGACGGUACCUAGAAAAGAAGCACCGGCUAACUACGUG